rnacentral:lncRNA from 1 species
AUUUAAUUAUUGGUCAUGCGUGCUGUUUUGUUCAAAGCAGAUCAGCCAACCAUAUAAAGGACAGAUAAAACUGACCCUCAUCUCAGACUUAAGGGUCAAUUAAUGCAAUUUUUCAAAAGCUUUUUAUGAAGUAUGCAACCCUGAUGUCUUGAUGGGCACAAUCACAUUUGUACGAUCCUAGUAAUGGUCCUCGUUUUGUCUGCGGUUGUUUUUUACGUAUAAUGCAAUAUUUGUUUUAGCUCUUGUUUAUAUUUAAAUUAAGUUUGUAUGGUGUGGUUCAGC